UACAGAGGUGGCAAGCGUUGUUCGGAAUUACUGGGCGUAAAGGGCGCGUAGGCGGCCCACUAAGUCACACGUGAAAUCCCUCGGCUCAACCGGGGAACUGCGUGUGAUACUGGCGGGCUUGAAUUCGGGAGAGGGAUGUGGAAUUCCAGGUGUAGCGGUGAAAUGCGUAGAUAUCUGGAGGAACACCGGUGGCGAAGGCGGCAUCCUGGACCAUUACUGACACUGAAAAGCGAAAGCCAGGGGAGCAAACGGG
rnacentral:rRNA from 1 species